UGUACCCCAGAUUGAGGAAUAACUGCCCGAAAGGGUGGCUAAUACCGCAUACGGUCUUCGGAUUAAGCCUUCGGGCGCUUUGGGAACAGCUUGCGUACGAUUAGAUAGUUGGUGAGGUAAAGGCUCACCAAGUCAACGAUCGUUAACUGGUCUGAGAGGAUGAUCAGUCAGACUGGAACUGAGAUACGGUCCAGACUCCUACGGGAGGCAGCAGUGAGGAAUCUUCCACAAUGGGGGCAACCCUGAUGGAGCAACGCCGCGUGCAGGAUGAAGGCCUUCGGGUCGUAAACUGCUUUUAUAGGUGAAUAAUAUGAAUGUAGCUUAUGAAUAAGCACCGGCUAACUACGUGCCAGCAGCCGCGGUCAUACGUAGGGUGCAAGCAUUAUCCGGAGUGACUGGGCGUAAAGAGUUGCGUAGGUGGUUUGUCAAGUGAAUAGUGAAAUCUGGUGGCUCAACCACACAGACUAUUAUUCAAACUGGCAAACUCGAGAAUAGCAGAGGUAACUGGAAUUUCUAGUGUAGGAGUGAAAUCCGUAGAUAUUAGAAGGAACACCAAUGGCGUAGGCAGGUUACUG
rnacentral:rRNA from 1 species